rnacentral:rRNA from 1 species
CUUGGUCAUUUAGAGGAAGUAAAAGUCGUAACAAGGUAAUCGUAGGUGAACCUGCGGUUGGAUCAUUACAAAAAUGUGAUUGUGCACUUCUUUCCGUAUGGAGGGAGGCACGAAUCCAAACCCCUUGUGAACUGUUAUUCGUACUUGGCAAGUGAUGCGCUUGUUGGUAUUCAGUUGAAUAUUCAACGAGUGUCCAGAGUUUCAAAUGGGCCUCCCAUUUGAAAGCUUGUCUUUUUCUUAAACCAAUUCUACUAUUUGUCUGAUCUAUAAAAAUUCAAAUUAUGAAACAACUUUUGGCAACGGAUCUCUUGGUUCUCGCAACGAUGAAGAACGCAGCGAAAUGCGAUACGUAUCAUGAAUUGCAGAACUCUGAAUGAUAAAUGUUUGAACGCACAUUGCGCCAGCUUUUAGUUGGCAUGUCUGUCUGAGAAUCUUAAAGUUCCUCUCCAAACAAAGUUUUUGGUUGGAGGCUCUUGACAGCUCCAUAUUUCAAAUAUGGGCUGUUGAAAUGCAAAACCUUUGCAACAGUUGUUGUUUAGGCACAGUUCUUUUGACAAACUCGAAAGAUACAAGUGUCCAAACAUUCGACAAAUUUAAACUUGGUCUCAGAUCAGACAGGAGGACCCGCUGAACUUAAGCAUAUCAAUAAGCGGAGGAAAAGAAACUAACAAGGAUUCCCUUAGUAACGGCGAGUGAAGUGGGAACAGCUCAAAUUUUAAAUCUACCUUCGGGUCGAAUUGUAGUUUCGAGAAGUGUUUUCGGACUGGGAGCAAGUUAAAGUCCCCAGGAUUUGGGCAUCACAGAGGGUGACAAUCCCGUGAAUGACUUGCUAUCCGGUUUAUGUGAUACACUUUCAAAGAGUCAGGUUGUUUGGGAAUGCAGCCUAAAAUGGGUGGUAAAUACCAUCUAAAGCUAAAUAAUGGCGAGAGACCGAUAGCGAACAAGUACCGUGAGGGAAAGAUGAAAAGAACUUUGAAAAGAGAGUUAAAAAGUGCUUGAAAUUGUCAAAAGGGAAGCGCUCAACACCAGUGAUGAAACUAGAAUUCAACGGUUCUUUGAGCCGCGCAUUUUCUAGUCUCAAGUCAACAUCAGUUUGGUUUGCGGGAAAAGAACUAAGGGAGGCACCUAGUGCAAUCUUAGCUGAUACCGUGGGCUAGACUGAGGUCUGCUAAUAGGAUGUUGACGAAAUGGUUUUGAACGUCCCGUC